rnacentral:rRNA from 1 species
AGAGUUUGAUCCUGGCUCAGAUUGAACGCUGGCGGCAGGCCUAACACAUGCAAGUCGAGCGGCAGCGGGAGGAAGCUUGCUUCCUCGCCGGCGAGCGGCGGACGGGUGAGUAAUGUCUGGGGAUCUGCCCGAUGGAGGGGGAUAACCACUGGAAACGGUGGCUAAUACCGCAUAACGUCGCAAGACCAAAGUGGGGGACCUUCGGGCCUCACACCAUCGGAUGAACCCAGAUGGGAUUAGCUAGUAGGUGGGGUAAUGGCUCACCUAGGCGACGAUCCCUAGCUGGUCUGAGAGGAUGACCAGCCACACUGGAACUGAGACACGGUCCAGACUCCUACGGGAGGCAGCAGUGGGGAAUAUUGCACAAUGGGCGCAAGCCUGAUGCAGCCAUGCCGCGUGUGUGAAGAAGGCCUUCGGGUUGUAAAGCACUUUCAGCGAGGAGGAAGGUGGUGAGCCUAAUACGCUCAUCAAUUGACGUUACUCGCAGAAGAAGCACCGGCUAACUCCGUGCCAGCAGCCGCGGU